rnacentral:rRNA from 1 species
CCCAGACUCCUACGGGAGGCAGCAGUGGGGGAUAUUGCACAAUGGGGGGAACCCUGAUGCAGCGACGCCGCGUGGGUGAAGGAGCGUUUCGGCGCGUAAAGCCCUAUCGGCAGGGAAGAAGGAGGACGGUACCUGACUAAGAAGCCCCGGCUAACUACGUGCCAGCAGCCGCGGUAAUACGUAGGGGGCAAGCGUUAUCCGGAUUUACUGGGUGUAAAGGGGGCGCAGACGGCAGCGCAAGCCAGGAGUGAAAGCCCGGGGCCCAACCCCGGGACUGCUCUUGGAACUGCGCGGCUGGAGUGCAGGAGGGGCAGGCGGAAUUCCUGGUGUAGCGGUGAAAUGCGUAGAUAUCAGGAGGAACACCGGUGGCGAAGGCGGCCUGCUGGACUGCGACUGACGUUGAGGCCCGAAAGCGUGGGGAGCAAACAGGAUUAGAUACCCGGGUAAAC